rnacentral:rRNA from 1 species
AGUGAACGCUGGCGGUAGGCCUAACACAUGCAAGUCGAACGGCAGCACAGUAAGAGCUUGCUCUUACGGGUGGCGAGUGGCGGACGGGUGAGGCAUACAUCGCAAUCUACUUUUUCGUGGGGGAUAACGUAGGGAAACUUACGCUAAUACCGCAUACGACCUACGGGUGAAAGCAGGGGAUCUUCGGACCUUGCGCGAUUGAAUGAGCCGAUGUCGGAUUAGCUAGUUGGCGGGGUAAAGGCCCACCAAGGCGACGAUCCGUAGCUGGUCUGAGAGGAUGAUCAGCCACACUGGAACUGAGACACGGUCCAGACUCCUACGGGAGGCAGCAGUGGGGAAUAUUGGACAAUGGGCGCAAGCCUGAUCCAGCAAUACCGCGUGAGUGAAGAAGGCCUUCGGGUUGUAAAGCCCUUUUGUUGGGAAAGAAAAGCAGCAGGUUAAUACCCCGCUGUUCUGACGGUACCCAAAGAAUAAGCACCGGCUAACUUCGUG